GUACUCGCUUCGGCGGUACAUGUACUAACAUUGGAAAGAUACAGAGAAGAUUAGCAUGGCUCCUGCGCAAGGAUGACACGCAAAAUAAAAUAAAAAAUAAAAAAAAAU